rnacentral:lncRNA from 1 species
GAGUUUCAGGUCAGUCAGGGUGUCGUAGCAGGGCUUUGUUGAGAGAACCAAAUACAAGAACAUAUAUUCACAGGUCAAGAAGAACCACUGGGGGUUGAGUGGUAGAGCGCUUGCUUAGCAAGCGCAAGGCCCUGGGUUCCGUCCUCACCUGGGGGGGGGGGGGGACGGGACACUACUGUAUGCCCUAGAGAGGCGGUUCUUAGCCUGUAGGUCAUGACCCCUUUAAGUCCAUCGGGAAUACCAGACAUUUAUUUACAUUAGGAUUCACAACAGUAGCAAAAUCAGUUUCGAAGUAACAAAAGAAUUUUACAACUAGAGGAACGGUGUUAUAGGACUGUAACAUUAGGAAGGUUGAGAACCACUGCCCAGGGAAUUGACGAUAGGGCCACAUAGCAUCUUAGCGUUCUAGGGACCUUUGGGACAACCCACAACAGUAGUCUAGAGACGAAGGGGUACAUGUGUCGCCUAUGGAGUACUAAUGCCUACCUCUCCAGCCGUCCAUUCGUACCACAGAGUUUCCUUUGCCUCGUCCUUUCACGAGCGUCCCCCGUGCAGUCCACCGGCUGUACUUAAAGGAUGGCUGUCCACUCCUGUCUGCCGGGCCUCGUGAGCCAAUAAAGUCUUUUAGAGUUUUCA